CAUUAGCAGCUACGAGGCUGGGUUUGCUGGGACUGAGCAUGUAUGGCCAAGAUAGAGCUCUCCUCUGGAAUACAAGAGACGCUGGGUUUGGUUCCCACAACAGUCAGACAGCGCUCUGAAGCUUCAGAGGGGAUGAGGGGGUUGAGCGGCUCUCCCAAUCCACUCACCCGUGUCUUCCUCUUCUUGCCUGUUGGGGUUCAAAGCCAUGACUUGCACUGUCACAGAGUUUCGGGAGACUGUGCCGCCACUUCGCCCUGGAGGCCACACCUUAUGAGUCUGCAUGUGCUUCUUGACGUUAGACUUCUGGGCAAAGGCACGGCCACACGCGAUGCACUGAAAGGGCUUCUCCCCUGUGUGGCUGUAGGAACAAGGCCCACGGAUGGGCAGAGGGCCUGAGAAGGGUACCUCACUUCCCGGCCCCCGCCCCCAGGGCUACCUUCGGAUGUGCUGCUGAAGAUCAAAGUUCUUGGUGAAUGACUUGUCACAGUAGGAGCACUUGAGUUUCUGGGCUUUUGGCUUCCCUGCAGCUGAAAGGCAAUGGAGGAGAAGGAGGGUCAGGUGAGGUCCCAGCAGAGGGAACCUGGGAACCGCUUCUCCCCUGUCCCUAGUGUCAGACAGGGCACACGCUGGAAACAUCUCUAUUUAUGUGUAGGCAGUGUAAGAGGGAAAGUCCAAGGCUUGCUCUGAAGGGAACAGACAAAAGCUCUCUCAAAGCCUUCCUCUGCCUCACGAUGAAACCCACCCUCUUUGGCCUUCAGAACUCCACAUCCUCAGCCUCUGCCAACUUCAGCAUCCCUCUGUCUUGGAAUGGACUCCUUGCUCCUCAUGAUGCCCGCACACAUGGUCUUCCCUCAGGACUUUGUACCUGCUCAUCCCCCUGCCUGGAAAGCUUGCUCCCAGGUACCAACAUGACUACUUCCUUCCCUCCAGAAA
rnacentral:lncRNA from 1 species